rnacentral:ncRNA from 1 species
AGGAUCGCGGGCGGUGCUGGUUCGCCCCUCCCGUGCGCGGGUGGGGCGUCGUAAGAGGGAACCCGGUGCGAGACCGGGACUGCCCCGCAGCGGUGAGUGGGAACGACCGCCGUCAACGAAGCACUGGACCGCACGGUCUGGGAAGCGACGGCCAGUAGGCGACCCCGUGUCACGCCCACGAGUCCGAAGACCUGCCAGCGCUGCGCGUACCGC